ACCCUUGUCAUUAGUUGCUACAUUCAGUUGAGCACUCUAAUGAGACUGCCGGUGACAAACCGGAGGAAGGUGGGGAUGACGUCAAGUCCUCAUGGCCCUUAUAGGUGGGGCUACACACGUCAUACAAUGGCUGGUACAGAGGGUUGCCAACCCGCGAGGGGGAGCUAAUCCCAUAAAACCAGUCGUAGUCCGGAUCGCAGUCUGCAACUCGACUGCGUGAAGUCGGAAUCGCUAGUAAUCGCGGAUCAGCAUGCCGCGGUGAAUACGUUCCCGGGUCUUGU
rnacentral:rRNA from 1 species